AGGGUUUGAUCCUGGCUCAGAAUGAACGUUGGCGGCGUGGAUUAGGCAUGCAAGUCGAGCGAGAAUCUCUUGAUUGAUCCUUCGGGUGAUUUCAUGAGAGGACAGCGGCAAACGGCGUAGUAAUGCGUAGGUUACGUACCCUCAGGACGGGGAUAGCCACGGGAAACUGUGGGUAAUACCCGAUAAUCUCUGCGGAGCAAAGGUGUGAUUCCGCCUGAGGAGCGGCUUACGUGAUAUUAGCUAGAUGGUGGGGUAAUGGCCUACCAUGGCGACGAUGUCUCGGGGGUGUGGGAGCAUGGCCCCCACGACCGGAACUGAGAUACUGUCCGGACACCUACGGGUGGCUGCAGUCGAGAAUCUUCCGCAAUGGGCGAAAGCCUGACGGAGCGACGCCGCGUGCGGGAUGAAGGCCCUUGGGUUGUAAACCGCUGUCAGAGGGGAUGAAAUCACGGUUGGUUAUCCUUCCGUGUUGACAGAGCCUCAAAGGAAGCACGGGCUAAGUACGUGCCAGCAGCCGCGGUAACACGUACUGUGCGAACGUUAUUCGGAAUCACUGGGCUUAAAGGGUGCGUAGGCGGUUUAUCAAGUCAGAUGUGAAAUGCCUGAGCUCAACUGAGGCACUGCGUUUGAAACUGAUAGACUUGAGUAUUCCAGGGGUAUGCGGAACUGCCAGUGGAGCGGUGAAAUGCGUUGAUAUUGGCAGGAACACCAGUGGCGAAGGCGGCAUACUGGGGGAUUACUGACGCUGAGGCACGAAAGCCAGGGUAGCGAACGGGAUUAGAUACCCCGGUAGUCCUG
rnacentral:rRNA from 1 species